GGGCGUAAGGGCUCGCAGGCGGUUUUUUAAGUUCUGAAUGUGAAAGCCCCCGGCUUCAACCGGGGAGGGUCAUUGGAAACUGGGGAACUUGAGUUGCAGAAGAGGAGAGUGGAAUUCCACGUGUAGCGGUGAAAUGCGUAGAGAUGUGGAGGAACACCAGUGGCGAAGGCGACUCUCUGGUCUGUAACUGACGCUGAGGAGCGAAAGCGUGGGGAGCGAACAGGAUUAGAUACCCUGGUAGUCCACGCCGUAAACGAUGAGUGCUAAGUGUUAGGGGGUUUCCGCCCCUUAGUGCUGCAGCUAACGCAUUAAGCACUCCGCCUGGGGAGUACGGUCGCAAGACUGAAACUCAAAGGAAUUGACGGGGGCCCGCACAAGCGGUGGAGCAUGUGGUUUAAUUCGAAGCAACGCGAAGAACCUUACCAGGUCUUGACAUCCUCUGACAAUCCUAGAGAUAGGACGUCCCCUUCGGGGGCAGAGUGACAGGUGGUGCAUGGUUGUCGUCAGCUCGUGUCGUGAGAUGUUGGGUUAAGUCCCGCAACGAGCGCAACCCUUGAUCUUAGUUGCCAGCAUUCAGUUGGGCACUCUAAGGUGACUGCCGGUGACAAACCGGAGGAAGGUGGGGAUGACGUCAAAUCAUCAUGCCCCUUAUGACCUGGGCUACACACGUGCUACAAUGGACAGAACAAAGGGCAGCGAAACCGCGAGGUUAAGCCAAUCCCACAAAUCUGUUCUCAGUUCGGAUCGCAGUCUGCAACUCGACUGCGUGAAGCUGGAAUCGCUAGUAAUCGCGGAU
rnacentral:rRNA from 1 species